GUCACAUAUUGAAAGCGCUCACAACAAGAGAACUAGUUACGGUCACUGAUUAGGCUUUCGGAAUCAAGUGGAAUCGAGAGAGAAAAAUCCAGUUGGAGUUGAGAGUGAGUAAAUGAGCGUACCUCACAGGAUACCAAGACUCUCACACUAAAGAAGAUCUUCUAGGGUCUGAAGUGGAGGGUUUAUUUGGUAUACAGAUGCAGGGUUGGACCAGCUAUUGAGUUACUAACAGAGCCCUAUACAUCCAGAACCCAGGUCUCACAAACUGUAUUUACUGUAUCCAUCGCUGAGAACAUUGAGAGAUGGCUCUGGAAAGUGUUCCAGACCGCCCUGACCCGGCAGGGUCACCAGAGGACUGGGUCCAGUGGGCUGUGCAGCGCCUGCAGAUGGAGCCCUGGGCGUUGGGGGGCAUUGUGGUCAUAGGGCUGUUCCUGCUGAUGAUCCUGGCCCUGGUGGUCUUCGCUCUAAUAUAUGGCUGUUGCUGCUCACCUGGAGGGGGGAAGAGGAGGAUGAAGACGGGGGUGCUUUAGAGAAGUGUGUCCCACUCUCCAUGACUGUUCUACGGCCAUUUAGAUUUUCUGUACCCCCUACGUCUACGAUGACUUUUCCAAAAGAAAAGACGGUGCAAAAAAAGCUUCCAGCCCAAGCAUUAUUAAUGGGACCAUCAUUUAAACAAACACGCUGAGGAAUGUCUGAAUUGGCAAGUAAUUCGAUCAAGUCAAGGCAAUAACGUUCAUAAAUUGAUCAUAAGUAUUUGAUUAUGAAAAUGUGCUGUUUGAUUAUAAUUAAAUGUUGAAACUUUAAAUGAAUCCUUUCAGUAAAUUGAUUUGUGUAUUUGAUUAUGAAAAUUUGCUGUUUGAUUAUAAUUAUUGUUGAAACUUUAAAUGAAUCCUUUCAAUAAAAAACUAUAUGCAUGCGCAUAUCAAAAGCGA